GUAGGUGGCAAGCGUUGUCCGGAUUUACUGGGCGUAAAGGGCGUGCAGGCGGUCUGUUAAGUCUAGGGUGAAAGCUCCCGGCUCAACUGGGAGAGGUCCUUGGAUACUGGCGGACUUGAGGGAUGCAGAGGAAAGUGGAAUUCCCGGUGUAGUGGUGAUAUGCGUAGAUAUCGGGAGGAACACCAGUGGCGAAGGCGGCUUUCUGGGCAUUACCUGACGCUGAGACGCGAAAGCGUGGGGAGCGAACCGGAUUAGAUACCCGGGUAGUCCACGCUGUAAACGAUGGACACUAGGUGUAGGGGGUAUCGACCCCCUCUGUGCCGCAGCUAACGCAAUAAGUGUCCCGCCUGGGGAGUACGGCCGCAAGGCUAAA
rnacentral:rRNA from 1 species